rnacentral:rRNA from 1 species
AGUGAACGCUGGCGGUAUGCCUAACACAUGCAAGUCGAACGGCAGCACCGUAAGAGCUUGCUCUUACGUGCGUCGCGUGGCGGACGCGUGAGUAAUACAUCGGAAUCUACUUUUUCGUGGGGGCUAACGUAGGGAAACUUCCGCUAAUACCGCAUACGACCUACUUGUGUAAGCAGGCGAUCUUCUGACCUUGCGCUAUUGUAUGAGCCUAUGUCGGAUUCGCUAGUUGGCGGGUUAAAGGCACUCCUCGGCGACGAUCCGUCACUGCUAUGAGAGGGUGGUUCCCCACACUGGAACAGAGGAACGGCACAGACACCGAGGGGGGGCAGCAGUCGAGAAUAUUGGAGGAUGGAGGAAAGGCGGAUCUAGCAAUACCGGGGGAGUGAUGAAGGCCUUAGGGUUGUAAAGCCCUGUAGUUGGGAAAGAAAAGAAGCAGGUUAAUCCCCGGUUGUUAUGACAGUACCCAAAGAAUAAGCACCGGCUAACUUCGUG